GUUUCUAUUCUCGUUUGAAUUGUUUUACAUUGUCAUUUCGGUGCCUUUUAUGGUUGACUGUGAGGUAUGACCUUUUGCUCAUUGUUGAAGACCGUAUUGUGACCUAUAGUUGUUAAUUCCUGUGUCAUCUGAUCUCUUGUGGAGAGUUCUCAUUGUCACUCAAGCCAUAUUAGGUAAAGGGUGGGGAUCUCGUUAACAAAUUUAACCCGCCUUAUUCUGUAUGUAGGAGCCUGUAUUUCAGUGAUUGUCGUUUGUUUAUGUGUUACAUAUUUGUUUUUGUACAUAAAUUAGGCCGUUAGUUCUCUCGUUUGAAUUGUUUUACAUUGUCAUUUCGUAGCCUUUUAUAGCUGACUAUUGUGUAUGGACUUUGCUAAUUGUUGAAGGCCGUAUGGUGACCUAUAGUUGUUAAUUUCUGAGUCAUUUGAUCUCUUGUAGAGAGUUCUCA
rnacentral:lncRNA from 1 species